rnacentral:rRNA from 1 species
GACGAACGCUGGCGGCGUGCUUAACACAUGCAAGUCGAACGGAAAGGCCCUGCUUUUGUGGGGUGCUCGAGUGGCGAACGGGUGAGUAACACGUGAGUAACCUGCCCUUGACUUUGGGAUAACUUCAGGAAACUGGGGCUAAUACCGGAUAUGAGCUCCUGCUGCAUGGUGGGGGUUGGAAAGUUUCGGCGGUUGGGGAUGGACUCGCGGCUUAUCAGCUUGUUGGUGGGGUAGUGGCUUACCAAGGCUUUGACGGGUAGCCGGCCUGAGAGGGUUACCGGCCACAUGGGGACUGAGAGACGGACCAGACUCCUACGGGAGGCAGCAGUGGGGAAUAUGGCACAAUGGGCGGAAGCCUGAUGCAGCAACGCCGCGUGCGGGAUGACGGCCUUCGGGUUGUAAACCGCUUUCGCCUGUGACGAAGCGUGAGUGACGGUAAUGGGUAAGGAAGCACCGGCUAACUACGUG